UACCAGCUCUCCGAGUGGUGUGGAUGUUUAUUGGGCCUAAAGCAUCCGUAGCUGGCUGGACAAGUCCCCUGUUAAAUCCACCGAUUUAAUCGUUGGUGUGCGGGGGAUACUGUUCGGCUAGGGGACGGGAGAGGCCGACGGUAUUUCCGGGGUAGGGGUGAAAUCCUAUAAUCCCGGGAAGACCACCAGUGGCGAAGGCUGUCGGCUAGAACGCGCCCGACGGUGAGGGAUGAAAGCUGGGGGAGCGAACCGGAUUAGAUACCCGGGUAGUCCCAGCUGUAAACGAUGCAGGCUAGGUGUUUGGGCGGCCACGUGCCGCCCUAGUGCCGCAAGGAAGCUGUUAAGCCUGCCGCCUGGGGAGUACGGCCGCAAGGCUGAAACUUAAGGAAUUGGCGGGGAGCACCACAAGGGGUGAAGCUUGCGGUUU
rnacentral:rRNA from 1 species